AUACAGAGGGUGCAAGCGUUAUUCGGAAUUACUGGGCGUAAAGCGCGCGUAGGCGGAUGAUUAAGUCAGUUGUGAAAGCCCUGGGCUCAACCUAGGAACUGCAUCUGAUACUGGUCGUCUAGAGUUUAGGAGAGGGAAGUGGAAUUCCAGGUGUAGCAGUGAAAUGCGUAGAUAUCUGGAGGAACAUCAGUGGCGAAGGCGACUUCCUGGCUUAAAACUGACGCUGAGGUGCGAAAGCGUGGGUAGCAAACGGAAUUAGAAACCCUAGUAGUCC
rnacentral:rRNA from 1 species